UAGCAUAAUCGUUAGUUUCUUAAUUGGGAUCUUGUAUGAAUGGUUGGACAAGAGAAAAUCUGUCUUUAUAAUUGUUAUUGAACUUAACUUUUGAGUGAAAAGGCUCAAAUAAAUUAGAGGGACGAUAAGACCCUAUAAAGCUUAAUACUAGGGAGCAUUAAGCCCAAUUUUAAGAUUAUAAAGGUUUAUUGUGUACUUUUUAUUAUAUUGGGGCGAUAGAAGUAAAAUGAUUAGUAACUGCUUCAUUUUUAGACAAAGAUAAGUGAAUAAAGAAGAGUAAAGGAUCCUUUAUAAAGAUUAUAAGAGCAAGUUACUUUAGGGAUAACAGCGUUAUUUUUUUUGAGAGUUCUUAUCGAAAAAAAAGUUUGCGACCUCGAUGGUUGAAUUA
rnacentral:rRNA from 1 species